rnacentral:rRNA from 1 species
UACGUAGGGUGCGAGCGUUGUCCGGAAUUAUUGGGCGUAAAGGGCUCGUAGGCGGUUUGUUGCGUCGGGAGUGAAAACUCAGGGCUUAACCCUGAGCCUGCUUCCGAUACGGGCAGACUAGAGGUAUGCAGGGGAGAACGGAAUUCCUGGUGUAGCGGUGAAAUGCGCAGAUAUCAGGAGGAACACCGGUGGCGAAGGCGGUUCUCUGGGAAUGUACUGACGCUGAGGAGCGAAAGUGUGGGGAGCGAACAGG